rnacentral:rRNA from 1 species
GUGGCGGAGUCCGCAAUCAAGGAUCGCGUUGUCGUCAUCGGGGCGAAGACUACGGCGCCGAUAAAUUAGAAGACGCCGCUCGCGUCAUGCCGGGCGCGGCGCUCUUGGCGAAUGCAAUCGCCGUCGCGCCGUCGAUUCUCGACACGCCGCCAAAUACAUCCUGCAUUGAGAAUGCUGCUGACGCUGAUCCUGGCUGCNGUCUAUGGCGCCAUCGCCAAGCACGCUGCGGCCGA